UAUCGGAACGUGCCCUGGAGUGGGGGAUAACUAGUCGAAAGAUUAGCUAAUACCGCAUACGAUCUAAGGAUGAAAGUGGGGGAUCGCAAGACCUCAUGCUCCUGGAGCGGCCGAUAUCUGAUUAGCUAGUUGGUGGGGUAAAAGCCCACCAAGGCGACGAUCAGUAGCUGGUCUGAGAGGACGACCAGCCACACUGGGACUGAGACACGGCCCAG
rnacentral:rRNA from 1 species